CUGCAUUAAAUGUUGGCCUGUCCUGUAUUAGGCAUUCAGGAUUUCCUUUGAUGGCCAUUUAGCUCUUAUGGCAUGAACUUGCUCAGCGCAUUAUUAUUUGUUUUUCUACAGUCUGAUAUUUGUUUACUAAUUGAUCGAUGCAGUGUAUUAAAUAAGUGGAUAAAUAAGAUGUUAAAAACCUCAUCAUCAUAUAAAACAUGAUAGAUUUGGGGGGAGUUUGUUUGGCACAUGCUGACUGCAUUCUAAUUAUAACCAGAACAGGAGGCGAGAGCAGAGAACAAGAGUGCAGCAGUUUGGUGAAAGGAACAGGAAAGGUGAAGAAGGGGUGAGCAUCCAAAAGACAAGCAAGAGGACAGUUUCAAAGGAGACAUUAUGGCACAAUAAAAGCUGUAAGAGCAGAGAUUCAUUCAUAUUUUUACUAUUUUUUCUUUAGCUUUUACUCCCACUGUCAUGGGUCUGGGUCAUUUUGACCCAGCUUUUUCUGUUUCUGUUUUGGUGUUUAUCUAAAUGUUGAUUUGUUUUGGGUUUUGGUUUGAUUUUGUAUUAAGGGUUAUUCUUGGUAUUGUUCCCAAACGUUAUUUGGUGUUUUGGCCUCUAGUUUAAGUCACUGUCUUCUCUGUUUUAUGUGUUAUAUUCUUUCUGUCUAUCUCUCAGUGUCAAGUUUGUGUUUUUGUGAUUUGUUUCUUAUUUCCUGUUUUAUUUUGAUAGUCCCUGUCCUAUGUCAGUGUAUUUAGUUUUACCUGGCCCUGUCUCGUUAGCCUAAUUUCUCCCAGCUGUGUCUUCCUCCUGUUUCCCGUUCCCUGAUUACUCCCCUGUGUAUAUAAGCCCCGUGUUUGCCAUUUCUUUCUGUUGCGUUGUACCCGCAAUAUGCUGUGUGUUUUGUCUCAUGCUCCAGUUCUGUUUUUUUCUUUUCCAGUGUUUUGGUCCUUAUCUCCUCUGUCCAGAGUUUUUUUUGUUGUUGUUGUUUGGCCUCCUCCUGUUUCACUGGCAUAUAUCCAUCACCAGAGGGCUCCACUGACCUGCCUGCUGACAUCAGAGCACACCCCUUUGUCAUGUGACCUGGCUGGCGUUGCAAAGCUGGACUCAGACCUGGCCCAGGCAAGUUCAAAGGCAGUUGUGGUAGAGAGAGCAGGGAGUAUAUCACUUCUAAAAACUUCUCCUGUAGCUGUUUUUGUUUAA
rnacentral:lncRNA from 1 species